rnacentral:rRNA from 1 species
UACGAAGGGGGCUAGCGUUGCUCGGAAUUACUGGGCGUAAAGGGAGCGUAGGCGGACAGUUAAGUCCGCUGUGAAAUCCCCGAGCUCAACUUGGGAAUUGCAGUGGAUACUGGCAAGCUGGAGUAUGGUAGAGGAAGGUGGAAUUCCCGGUGUAGCAGUGAAAUGCGUAGAGAUCGGGAGGAACACCGGUGGCGAAGGCGGCGACCUGGUCCUUGACUGACGCUGAGGCGCGAAAGCGUGGGGAGCAAACAGG